GUGCUUGCUUCAGCAGCACAAAUACUAAAACUGGAAGGAUACAGAUAAGAUUAGCACGGCCCCUGCGCAAGGAUGACAGGCAAACUCAUGAAGCGGUCCAUAUUUAU
ensembl:snRNA U6 U6 spliceosomal RNA